rnacentral:rRNA from 1 species
UUGUAAGUAAUGAAGAGCGUACGGUGGAUGCCUUGGCACCAGGAGCCGAUGAAGGACGUAGGAGGCUGCGAUAAGCCUCGGGGAGCUGUCAACCGAGCUGAGAUCCGAGGAAGUCCGAAUGGGGAAACCCAGCACGAGUGAUGUCGUGUAACCCGCACCUGAAUAUAUAGGGUGUGUGGAGGGAACGUGGGGAAGUGAAACAUCU